UCUAAGGAUGAAUUUCCAUCGACCCCGGCGCUUGCGUCGACGGUUUGGCAAUUCUCUUGGAACAAACGGUCGGCGAUAUGGCAAUCGUCGCCGGCUUUAAAUGAACGCGGAUUGCGCCGCCUUCGUUUCUCUUUCUUCACACAGAGGCACGCUUAAAGGGCCUGUAGCUCAGUUGGUUAGAGCGCGCGCUUGAUAAGCGUGAGGUCGGAAGUUCAAAUCUUCCCAGGCCCACCACAAUUUGGCAUCGAGGCUUUUCGCCCACGCCAGGGUCGGUGGCGCCGUUGGCGAGUACGCGAUCGUCCGGAACCUUCGGGGCCAUAGCUCAGCUGGGAGAGCACCUGCUUUGCAAGCAGGGGGUCGUCGGUUCGAUCCCGACUGGCUCCACCAAGUCCUCUGUGUUUGAAGAAGACAAAAGUUUCCGCUUCCGGCGUAAGGCCGCGGCGGUUCACCUGACAUCGUGAAGAGAAGAUUGUUCCGGAGCGCGCACACUCAAGGUGUGCGCAGGCGGUCGGUUGGCCCGCUCCAAGGCGGCCGGCAUGUUUUCGGAACAGUCACAAACAAGACUUCUGGUCUUUCUGUGCAAUGCAAACGGCAUUGGGCGUCCCGUCCCCGGGGCGUGCGAUGGGCAUUGCUAAUGAGAGCAAUCAAGUGACCUAAGGGCAUCUGGUGGAUGCCUUGGCGGUAAGAGGCGAUGAAGGACGUGGUACGCUGCGAUAAGUUACGGGAAGGCGCGAACAGCCGUGGAUCCGUAAUUUCCGAAUGGGGAAACCCGG
rnacentral:misc_RNA from 1 species